rnacentral:rRNA from 1 species
GAAAUGCGAUAAGUAAUGUGAAUUGCAGAAUUCAGUGAAUCAUCGAAUCUUUGAACGCACCUUGCGCUCCUUGGUAUUCCGAGGAGCAUGCCUGUUUGAGUGUCAUGAAAUCUUCAACCUAUAAGCUUUUGUGGUUUGUAGGCUUGGACUUGGAGGCUUGUCGGCCUUGAUCGGUCGGCUCCUCUUAAAUGCAUUAGCUUGAUUCCUUGCGGAUCGGCUCUCGGUGUGAUAAUAUCUACGCCGCGACCGUGAAGCGUUUGGCGAGCUUCUAACCGUCUCACUUGAGAGACAACUUUAUGACCUCUGACCUCAAAUCAGGUAGGACUACCCGCUGAACUUAA